rnacentral:rRNA from 1 species
GACGAACGCUGGCGGCGUGCCUAAUACAUGCAAGUAGAACGCUGAAGGAGGAGCUUGCUUCUCUGGAUGAGUUGCGAACGGGUGAGUAACGCGUAGGUAACCUGCCUGGUAGCGGGGGAUAACUAUUGGAAACGAUAGCUAAUACCGCAUAAUAGUAGAUGUUGCAUGACAUUUGCCUAAAAGGUGCAAUUGCAUCACUACCAGAUGGACCUGCGUUGUAUUAGCUAGUUGGUGGGGUAACGGCUCACCAAGGCGACGAUACAUAGCCGACCUGAGAGGGUGAUCGGCCACACUGGGACUGAGACACGGCCCAGACUCCUACGGGAGGCAGCAGUAGGGAAUCUUCGGCAAUGGACGGAAGUCUGACCGAGCAACGCCGCGUGAGUGAAGAAGGGUGUCGGAUCGUAAAGCUCUGUUGUAAGAGAAGAACGAGUGUGAGAGUGGAAAGUUCACACUGUGACGGUAUCUUACCAGAAAGGGACGGCUAACUACGUG